rnacentral:rRNA from 1 species
CCUACGGGAGGCAGCAGUGGGGAAUAUUGCACAAUGGGGGAAACCCUGAUGCAGCGACGCCGCGUGAGUGAAGAAGUAUUUCGGUAUGUAAAGCUCUAUCAGCAGGGAAGCAAAUGACGGUACUUGAUUAAGAAGCCCCGGCUAACUACGUGCCAGCAGCCGCGGUAAUACGUAGGGGGCAAGCGUUAUCCGGAUUUACUGGGUGUAAAGGGGGCGUAGGCGGCAGCACAGGUCUGGAGUGAAUUGCCGGGGCUUAACCCCGGAACUGCUUUUGAAACUGUGCAGCUAGAGUGCAGGAGAGGUAAGUGGAAUUCCUAGUGUAGCGGUGAAAUGCGUAGAUAUUAGGAGGAACACCAGUGGCGAAGGCAGCUUACUGGACUGUAACUGACGUUGAGGCUCGAAAGCGUGGGGAGCAAACAGGAUUAGAUACCCGAGUAGUC